rnacentral:tRNA from 3 species
GCCCAGGUAGCUCAGUUGGUAGAGCAGAGGAUUGAAAAUCCUCGUGUGGGCGGUUCGAUUCCGUCCCUGGGCACUA